rnacentral:rRNA from 1 species
AUACGUAGGUGGCAAGCGUUGUCCGGAAUUAUUGGGCGUAAAGCGCGCGCAGGUGGUUCCUUAAGUCUGAUGUGAAAGCCCCCGGCUCAACCGGGGAGGGUCAUUGGAAACUGGGGAACUUGAGUGCAGAAGAGGAUAGUGGAAUUCCAAGUGUAGCGGUGAAAUGCGUAGAGAUUUGGAGGAACACCAGUGGCGAAGGCGACUGUCUGGUCUGUAACUGGCACUGAGGCGCGAAAGCGUGGGGAGCAAACAGGAUUAGAUACCCUGGUAGUCCACGCCGUAAACGAUGAGUGCUAAGUGUUGGGGGGUUUCCGCCCCUCAGUGCUGCAGCUAACGCAUUAAGCACUCCGCCUGGGGAGUACGGUCGCAAGACUGAAACUCAAAGGAAUUGACGGGG